GAAGAUCACAUUUCCAAGCGGAGAGGUCGGUUUCGUGAGGGGAGGGCGGGGGCACGAGGGAUGGGCGGUGAGGGGCAGAUAGAAGAGGGAGAAACUUCUUCUACCUGCCUCUCCCUCUCUCCUGGUCACACCCCUCCCCCUCUCUACGUUCUUCAUACCUUCGUCGCUAAGUGCAGUGAUCUGAGAUGU
rnacentral:snoRNA from 1 species